CCUACGGGAGGCAGCAGUGGGGAAUUUUGGACAAUGGGCGCAAGCCUGAUCCAGCAAUGCCGCGUGCAGGAUGAAGGCCUUCGGGUUGUAAACUGCUUUUGUACGGAACGAAACGGUCUGCUUUAAUACAGUGGGCUAAUGACGGUACCGUAAGAAUAAGCACCGGCUAACUACGUGCCAGCAGCCGCGGUAAUACGUAGGGUGCGAGCGUUAAUCGGAAUUACUGGGCGUAAAGCGUGCGCAGGCGGUUAUAUAAGACAGAUGUGAAAUCCCCGGGCUCAACCUGGGACCUGCAUUUGUGACUGUAUAGCUAGAGUACGGUAGAGGGGGAUGGAAUUCCGCGUGUAGCAGUGAAAUGCGUAGAUAUGCGGAGGAACACCGAUGGCGAAGGCAAUCCCCUGGACCUGUACUGACGCUCAUGCACGAAAGCGUGGGGAGCAAACAGGAUUAGAUACCCUGGUAGUCCACGCCCUAAACGAUGUCAACUGGUUGUUGGGUCUUCACUGACUCAGUAACGAAGCUAACGCGUGAAGUUGGCCGCCUGGGGAGUACGGCCGCGAAGGUUGAAACUCAAAGGAAUUGACGG
rnacentral:rRNA from 1 species